rnacentral:rRNA from 1 species
UCGAGCGCACCUUCGGGUGAGCGGCGGACGGGUGAGUAACGCGUGGGAAUAUGCCCGGUACUACGGAAUAGCCUCGGGAAACUGAGAGUAAUACCGUAUACGCCCUUCGGGGGAAAGAUUUAUCGGUAUCGGAUUAGCCCGCGUUGGAUUAGGUAGUUGGUGGGGUAAUGGCCCACCAAGCCGACGAUCCAUAGCUGGUUUGAGAGGAUGAUCAGCCACACUGGGACUGAGACACGGCCCAGACUCCUACGGGAGGCAGCAGUGGGGAAUCUUGGACAAUGGGGGCAACCCUGAUCCAGCCAUGCCGCGUGAGUGACGAAGGCCCUAGGGUCGUAAAGCUCUUUCAGCUGUGAAGAUAAUGACGGUAGCAGCAGAAGAAACCCCGGCUAACUCCGUGCCAGCAGCCGCGGUAAUACGGAGGGGGUUAGCGUNGUUCGGAAUUACUGGGCG